rnacentral:rRNA from 1 species
CGAUCGUAGCGGUUCUCGCAAGAGAAUUGCACGGGAGUGGCAAACGGGUGAGUAACACAUUGGUAACCUACCCCUGUCUCGUGAAUAAUCCCGCGAAAGCGGGACUAAUACACGACGGCGUGCUUCUGCGUAAGCAGAAGCAAUAAAGAUUUAUCGGACGGGGAGGGGCCUAUGGCCCAUCAGCUAGUUGGUAGGGUAAUGGCCUACCAAGGCUACGACGGGUAGCGGGUGUGAGAGCACGACCCGCCUCACUGGGACUGAGAUACUGCCCAGACACCUACGGGUGGCUGCAGUCGAGAAUAUUCCGCAAUGCCCGAAAGGGUGACGGAGCGACGCCGCGUGCAGGAAGAAAUCCCUCGGGAUGUAAACUGCUUUUGCAUGGGAAGAAGCUUCGGCUGACGGUACCAUGCGAAUAAGGACCUGCUAAACUCGUGCCAGCAGCCGCGGUAAUACGAGUGGUCCAAGCGUUAUCCGGAUUUAUUGGGCGUAAAGCGUCCGCAGGCGUCCUUACAAGUUUUUCGUUAAAUCUUCAGGCCCAACCUGGUGACCGCGAAAAAAACUGUGAGGAUAGAGAACGGGAGAGGCUGACGGAAUGGCCGGUGUAGGGGUAAAAUCCGUUAAUAUCGGCUAGAACACCAAAGGCGAAAGCAGUCAGCUGGAACGUUUCUGACGCUCAGGGACGAAAGCGUAGGUAGCGAAUGGGAUUAGAUACCCCAGUAGUCUACGCUGUAAACGAUGGAUACUUGACAUUGGGAGUCUCGACCCUCUCAGUGUCGCUUUAAUCAAGCUAACGCCUUAAGUAUCCCGCCUGGGGAGUACGGCCGCAAGGCUAAAACUCAAAGGAAUUGACGGGGACCCGCACAAGCGGUGGAGCAUGUGGUUUAAUUCGACGAUAAGCGAGGAACCUUACCAGGGCUUGACAUCCGGCUGCAGACCCCGAGAAAUCGGGGAGCCUUCGAGGGUGCCGGACAGGUGGUGCAUGGUUGUCGUCAGCUUGUGCCGUGAGGUGCACGGUUAAGUCCGAUAACAAGCGCAACCCCUACGCUGUGUUUCACGUACCACAGCGGACUGCCUCGGUUAACGAAGGAGGAAGGC